rnacentral:snRNA from 1 species
AUCUUUGCGCUUGGGGCAAUGACGCAGCUAGUGAGGUUCUAACCGAGGCGCGUCUAUUGCUGGUUGAAAACUAUUUCCAAACCCCCUCUUCGGCCUUGGCCGUCGAGAAUUUUUGGAAGGGCUUCCCUCAUGGGUAAAGUC